rnacentral:lncRNA from 1 species
ACUGGAAUUACUGUAUACAUGCGGGACUUAGGAAUCUGUGUUUUGACCAAGAGGCCAGGUGAUUCUUCUGCUCAGUUAGUGCUGGGAAACAGUGCUAAGAAGGAUACAGUGGCUAGAAGUCGUCCUGUCGUCCUGCCUCACAGUAACAUCGUUACCGAAUUCUCAGCAGGUGAACCAAAUGAAAUGGUCAACUGAAAGCCAACCAGGCAAAAAAUCACCAUGUACCAACCUAUCCAAACUUAUCCAUGGAUGAAUCUAUCCAGAAGACGGGAGUUCCGAUGCUUGUCUUGCUCUGAAUGUCUGCUUGUCACCUGCUUAGGGUUAUCGACUGUGAUUCUGGGACUCAUUGUUGUUCUACAGGACCCCUCUGACUCUGUGGUUUUCUCUACUGGAUUAACAAUGAUAGCCAUAGGUGCUUUUUUUGUUGUCCUCACUGGAGUGACAGCCCUGUGUACGGUUACAGUCGACGAGAACUUGCAGAAAACCACGAGGCUAAGACUAGGAGUGAUACGAAAAAGCGGAAGUCUCCAAGGAACUACAGAGCCUUCCAUGACUCACUCAAUAAUCGCUAGCACCUCGCUGUAGUUGUACAUUGAACCCUGGCAUCUUCGUCUUUGGAACUAAGUCUCCUGAGCAUUGUUUUUAAAUAGAAAUAAAAUCUGGCUUUUAAAAAAACUCUUGUAAUCCCAGCAGUUUGGGAGGCCAAGGUGGGUGGAUCACAAGGCUGGUCUUGACGUCCUGACCUCAAGUGAUCCACCUGCCUUGGCCUCCCAAAGUGUGAGCCGAUGCCAUCCUUGUGUGUGUGUGUGUGUGUGUGUGUGUGUGUCGUUUUUUUGUUUUGUUUUGUUUUGUUUUUUGAGACAGAGUCUCACUCUGUAGCCCAGGCUGGAGUGCAGUGGUGCAAUCUCAGCUUACUUCAGGCUCUGCCUCUUGGGUUCAAGGGAUUCUCUUGCCUCAGCCUCCUGAGUAGCUGGGAUUACAGGUGUGAGCCCCCACACCAGGCUAAUGUUUGGAUUUGUAGUAGAGACAAGGUUUUGCCUUGUUGUCCAGGCUGGUCUCAAACUCCUGACCUCAGGUAAUCUGCCUGCCUUUGCCUCCCAAAGUGCUGGGAUUACAGGCGUGAGCCGUCAUCUCUUGCCCGGUAACAUCCUUUAUAAUAAACCAGUAAAUGUGUUUCCCUGGGUUCUCUAAGCUGCAUUAGCAAUUAAAUGAACCCAAAGAGAGGGUUGUGGGAACACCAAGUUGAAACAAGUCAGAAGUUCUGGAGGCUCAGAUUUGUGACUGGUGGGAAGGGAGAGGGCUGCUUGGUGGGAGUGAGCCCUCAGUUGUGGGGCCUGAUGCUGUAUCAGUGAGGUAGAUACUGUCAGAAUUGAGGCUGGGCGUGGUGCCUCAUGCCUGUAAUCCCAGCACUUUGGGAGGCCAAGGCAGGUAGAUUGCUUGAGUUCAGGAGUUCGAGACUAGCCUGGUUAACAUGGCAAAAGCCUGUCUCUAUAAAAAAUACAAAAACAGGCCAGGUGCUGUGGCUCACGCCUGUAAUCCAGCACUUUGGGAGGCCGAGGCGGGCAGAUCACUUGCGCUCAGGAGUUUCAGACCAGCCUGGCCAACAUGGUGAAACCCUGUCUCUACUAAAAAUACAAAAAUUAUCAAAGCAUGGCGGUGUGUCCCUGUAGUCCCAGCUACUCAGAAGGCAGAGGCAAGAAAAUAGCUUGAACCUGGGAUGUGGAGGCUGCAGUGAACCUAGACCGCGCCAUUGCACUCCAGCCUGGGUGACAGAACAAGACUCCGUCUCAAAAAAAGAAAAACAAAACAAAACAAACAAAAACAGCCAGGCAUGAUAGCACUUGCCUGUGGUCCAGCUACUUGGAAAGCUGAGGUGGGUGGAUCACUUUGAGUCUGAGAGGUUGAGAUUGAGCCACUGCACUCCAGCCUGUGCAACAGAGCUAGACCUUGUUUAAAAGGAAAAAAAAAAAUGCCGGGUGCAGUGGCUCAUGCCUGUAAUCCCAGAACUUUGGGAGGCCAAGGAGGGUGGAUCACGUGAGGUCAGAAGUUCAAGACCAGCCUGGACAACAUGGUGAAACCCUGUCUCUACUAAAAAUACAACAAUUACCCGGGCAUGGUAGCAGGCACCUGUAAUCCCAGCUAUUCAGGAGGCUGAGGCAGGAGAAUCACUUCAACCCGGGAGGCGGAUGUUGCAGUGAGCCGAGAUCACACCAUGGCACUCCAGCCUGGGCUACAGAGACUCUGUGUCCCCCCAACCAAAAAAAAAAAAAAAAGUCGGAGGACACCCAGCAGAUGUCUGAUGUAGAAUUGAUUGGUUGCUUGGUGUGUGGGGAGAAAUCCCUACACAUUUGGUUACAGAAGUCUUCUGUGUCAUUGUUGUCGUGGUGUUUUUCCCUUCAGUGACCACGCUGUCCAAAGUGAUCUACAGAUUCAUUUCAAUCCCUAUCAAAAUACCAAUGACAUUUUCAGAGAUAGAAAAAAAAAUCCUAAAAUUCAUGUGGAACCAAAGUGAGCCCAAAUAUCCAAAGUAAUCCUGAGCAAAAGAAGAAAGCUAGGCCGGGCACGGUGGCUCACGCCUGUAAUCCCAACACUUUGGGAGGCUGAGGCGAGUGGAUCGCCUGAGGUCAGGGCUUUGAGACCAGUCUGGCCAACAUGACGAAACCCCGUCUCUACUAAAAAUACUAAAAUUAGCUGGGCGUGGUGGCAGGAGCCUGUAAUCCCAGCUAUUCGGGAGGCUGAGGCAGGAGAAUCACUUGAACCUGGGAGGCAGAGGUUGCAAUGAGCCAAGGUCGCACCAUUGCACUCCAGCCUGGAUGACAAGAACGAGACUUCGUCUCAAAAAAAAAAAAAAAGAAGAAAAUGGCUGGAUGCAGCGGCUCAUGCCUGUAAUCCCAGCACUCUGGAGGGCCGAAGCAGAUGGAUCACCUGAGGUCAGUAGUUCAAGACCAGCCUGACCAACAUUGAGAAACCCCAUUUCUACUAAAAAUACAAAAUUAGCUGGGCGUGGCAGCACAUGCCUGUAAUCCCAGCUACUUGGGAGACUGAGGCAGGAGAAUUGCUUGAAUCUGGAAGGCGGAAGUUGUGGUGAGCCGAGAUUGCACCAUUGCACUCCACCCUGAGCAACAAGAGUGAAACUCUCUCUCUCUCACACACACACACACAGACACACACACACACACACACAAAGCUAGAGGCCUCAUGUGGUCACUCACACCAGUAAUCCCAGCAUUUUGGGAGUCCAUGGUGGCUAGAUCACUUGAGGUCAGGAGUUCGAGACCUGCCUGGCAAAACCUCAUCUCUACAAAAAAAAGUACAAGAAAUCAGUUGGGGGCUGGGUGUGGUGGCUCACGCUUGUAAUCCCAGCACUUUAGGAGGCCAAGGCCGGUGGAUCUCCUGAAGUCAGGGGUUUGAGACCAGCCUGGCCAACAUGACAAAACCCUGUCUCUACUAAAAAUACAAAAAAAAAAUUAGCCAGGUGUGGCAUGUCUGUAGUCCCAGAUACUCAGGAGGCUGAAGCAGGAGAACUGCUUGAACCUGGGAGGCAGAGAUUGCAGCGAGCCGUGAUCACGCCACUGCACUCCAGACUCCAGCCUGGGUGACAGAGUGAGACGCUGUCUCAAAAAAAAAAAAAAAAUUGGGUGUUGCGUUGUGUCCCUGUAGUUCCAUCCACCCAGGAGGCUGAGGUGGGAGGAUCAUUCGAGCUGUGAGCUGGGAGGUCGAGGCUGCAGUGAGUCAUGAUGGCACCACUCUAGCCUGGGCAACAAGAUUUGUUUCAACAAAACUGUAAGUUGUAGAAUGCUGAGAUUCAUUUUGCUUUAUUACAAAACUAAGAAUUUCUAGUUGGUUGUUGAAUUUAAUAUUAUUUAACCACCAAAGAAAGAGAUUCUUGUUGGCCUGAUACAUCUUCCUUGAUAUGUCAAAGUGUUUUUGUCACAAAGGAGAGCAGGUAUAACUGUGAAAACUGCAUUACAUCUAUAGACUGUACCAAUGUCACUUUCUUGGUUUUGAUAUUUAAUACGUUAACAUUGGGGGAGGCUGAGAGAAGGGUCCGUGGAACUUCCCUAUACAUUUCUUGGGACCCUCUGAUGAAUCUAUAAUCAUCUCAAAAUGAAAAGUUAAACACAUUUUAGUUUCACAAAACUAUGUAAAUGAAACAGAAUACCCAAUGUUGAUUUUUGUAAUUGUGUUACAUUUGAAAGGGAACGCAAAAUGUGAUUGUAAUGAUAAGAACUAGCCACAAGUUGUCACUAGUGGUCUAUCAUAGCCCUCUGAAACUCACAACACCCACCCCCCCGCCACGCCCCCCGCCACCCUCAAAACGAGAAUUGUUUUGAUGAAGAAAGGACGUGACUUUUUUUUUUUUUUUUUUUUUUUUUUUGAGACAGAGUCUCACUCUGUUGCCCAGGCUGGAGUGCAGUGCCACGAUCUCGGCUCACUGCAACCUCUGUCUCCCAGGUUCAAGUGAUCCUCCAGCCUCAGCCCCCGAGUAGCUGGAUUACUGGUACAUGCCACAACGCCCGACUGAUUUUUUUAUUUUCAGUAGAGAUGGGAUUUCGCCAUGUUGGCCAGGCUGGUCUCAAACUCCUGACCUCAGGUGAUCCACCCAUCUCGGCCUCCCAAAGUGCUGGGAUUACAGGCAUGAGGCACCACGCCUGGCUGGAUGUGGCUAUUUUUAAACUGCCAUAUUUAACCAUUGCUGUUUUUCUGUUUGGAAGCACUGUAAAAUCCCAAUAUCGUAUUCUUUUUUUUUUUUUUUUGAGAUGGAGUCUUGCUCUGUCACCGAGGCUGGAGUGCAGUGGCGCGAUGCAACCUCUGCCACCCAGGUUCAAGUGAUUCUCCUGCCUCAGCCUCCCGAGUAGCUGGGAUUACAGGUGCCUGCCACUACACCCGGCUAAUUUUUGUAGUUUUAGUAGGGACGGAGUUUCACCAUGUUGGUCAGGCUGGUCUUGAACUCCUGUCCUCAAGCAAUCUACCUGCCUCGGCCUCCUAAAGUGCUGAGAUUACAAGCAUUAGUCACCGCGCCCUGUUUAUCUUAUUCUUUUAUAGGUGAAAAUACAGAAACCAUAAGAAAGGGAAUAGGGUUUUUUUGUUGUCGUUUUUGAGACAAGAGUCUCCCUCUAUCGCCCAGGCUGCGGUGCAGUGGCGCGAUCUCGGCUCACUGCAAGCUCCGCCUCCCGGGUACACGCCAUUCUCCUGCCUCAGCCUCCCGAGUAGCUGGGACUACAGGUGCUCACCACCACGCCCAGCUGAUUUUUUUGUAUUUUUUUUAAUAGAGGCGGGGUUUCACCGUGUUAGCCAGGAUGGUCUCAAUCUCCUGACCUCGUGAUCCACCAGUCUCAGCCUCCCAAACUGCUGGGAUUACAGGUGUGAGCCACUGCACCUGGCCGCAGGAAUAGGGUUUAAAGGUGGCAAAUUAGACAUUCUCUAGAGGAACGUCACUUCUCAAAGUGUGGCUCCUGGAGCAGCAGCACUGGCAGGGCCUAACAAUUUGUAAGAAGUGCAAAACCUCAGGCCUCACCCUAAACCUACCAAAUUAGAUUCUUCUUCUUUUAUAUUUUUGAGGUGGAGUCGCACUCUGUUACCCAGGCCAGAGUGCAGUGCGGUGAUUUUGGCUCAAUGCAACCUCUGCCUCCUAGGUUCAAGUGAUUCUCCUGCCUCAGCCUCCCAAGUAGCUGGGAUUACAGGUGUGGGCCACCACGCCCGGCUAACUUCUGUAUUUUUAGUAGAUACGGGGUUUUAUCAUGAUGGCCAGGCUGGUCUCGAACUCCUGACCUCAGGUGAUCCACCUGCCUUGGCGUAAUCCCAGUGCAGGGAUUACAGGUGUGAGCCACCAUGACCAGCCAGAUUCUUCACCUUUUUGGUGUGUGUGUGUAUGUGUGUGUGUGAGAUGGUGUCUUGCUCUUGUCGCCCAGGCUGGAGCACAAUGGCACAAUCUCGGCUCACUACAACCUCUGCCUCCCAGGUUCAAGCACUUCUCCUGCCUCAGCCUCCCAAGUAGCUGGGAUUACAGGCGCCAGCCACCACGCCCGGCUGAUUUUUAUAUUUUUAGUAGAGAUGGGGUUUCACCAUGUUGGCCAGGCUGGUCUCGAACUCCUGACGUCAGGUGAUCUGUCUGCCUCGGCCUCCCAAAGUACUGGGAUUACAGGCAUGAGCCACUGCACCCAGCCCUGAAUUUGAUUCUUCUUCUUUUUUUUUUUUUGAGACGGAGUCUCACUCUGUUGCCCAGGCUGGAGUGCAGUGACGUGAUCUCCGCUCACUGCAAACUCCGCCUCCCGGGUUCACGCUGUUCUCCUGCCUCAGCCUCCCGACUAGCUGGGACAACAGGCACCCACCACCACACCCGGCUAAUUUUUUGUAUUUUUUAGUAGAGAUGGGGUUUCACCCUGUUAGCUAGGAUGGUCUUGAUCUCCUGACCUCGUGAUCCACCCGCCUUGGCCUCCCAAAGUGCUGGGAUUACAGGAGUGAGCCACUGCGCCUGGCCACCACAUGGACAUCUUUGAGGAUCAUCUUUCAAUACCCCUUAGUCUCUGUGUUGUAGAACAGCAGCUAUCAAGGAGCAUUGUUCUUUUUUUUUUUUUUUUUUUUUUUUUUUUUUGAUCCAGAGUCUGGCUGUGUUGCCCAGGCUGGAGUGCAGUGGCCAAUCUCAGCUCACUGCAACCUCUGCCUCCUGGGUUCAAGUGAUUCUCCUCCCUCAGCCUCCCGUGUAGCUGAGGUUACAGGUGCAUGCCACUACACCUGGGUAAUUUUUGUAUUUUUGGUAGAGAUGGGGUUACACCGUGUUGGCCAGGUUGGUCUCGAACUCCUGGCCUCAAGUGAUCUGCCCACCCUGGCCUCCCAAAGUGCUGGGAUUACAGGUGUGAGCCACCGUGCCUGGCCUUAACAUAACUGUUUACAACAAAACUGUAUAACCUGCCCGUCCUGCCUGGAUGAUUGAUUCAGGAUGCUUAUGUUGAUGCAGGAGAAUGGGGUCUGGAGGCAGGGAACCUAAAAACUUCCUAGAACUAGGCCGAGUGCAGUGGCUCACACCUGUAAUCCCAGCACGUUGGGAUGCCGGGGCCGGUGGAUCACCUGAGAUCAGGAGUUCGAGGCCACCCUGGCCAACAUGGUGAAAUUCUAUCUCUAUUAAAAAUAGAAAAAUUAGCUUGGUGUGGUGGUGAGCACCUGUAAUCCCAGCUACUUGGGAGGCUGAGGCAGGAAAAUCGCUUGAACCUGGGAGGCAGAGGUUGCAGUGAGCCAAGAUCCUACCACUGCACUACAGCCUGGGCAACAAAGUGAGACUCUGUUUUAAUAAAUAAACAAACAAACAUACAUACUUCCUAGAACUCAAUAAAAGGGAAAAACCCCAAUUAACUGUCUUUUUUUUUUUCUAGAUGGAGUUCAGUGGCCUGAUCUUGGCUCACUGCAACUUCCGCCUCCCGGGUUCAAGCAAUUCUCCUGCCUCAGCCUCCCAAGUAGCUGGGAUUACAGGCACCCCCCACCAUGCUAGGCUAAUUUUUGUAUUUUUAGUAGAGACGGAGUUUCACUAUGUUGGCCAAAGGUCCGCCCACCUCCGCCUCCGAAAGUGUUUGGAUUACAGGCAUGAGCCCUCCCCGCUCUCCCACCUCCAGGCCAAAACCCCAACUUUCUAUGCCCAACUAAAUAACUUUGUAACUUCACUUCAGCUAUGGCAGGAAACAUCCUCUUCAUUUCCAUGGGGUGUAUGCCAAGUAAAUAACUUUGUAACUUCACUUACCCUCUUCAUUUACAUAGGGCAUACCAAUGGGAAACCUCUGAAGGGUAUUUAAACCCCAGAAAAUUCUGUAACCAGCAUUGUUGAGUCACUUCCUCUAACCUGCUCCCUACUCUGUGGAGUGUACUUUCGUUUCAAUAAAUCUGUGCUUUUCUUUCAUUGCUUUGUGCGUUUCGUCCAAUUCUUUUUUCAAAACGUCAAGAACCUGGACACCCUCCACCCGUAACAGUGUGACACAGUUCUGGCCAGAGUCAGGUCCAGGUUUUACGGAAGUAUUUGUAAGAGCAAGGCUUUGUGGGAGUUGCUGAGAAAAGACCACCUAAGCCUGGAACUGCUGGCAGUUACGUUGCCGCAAGGGGUGAGUCUGCCUGAGAAUGGAAAGCAGAACUGACAGAAGGAGAGAGAGUGCCUGAGUUUCUGAUGAUACUGACACGAACCUUACCUGGACAAUUAAGUUCUAUGAGCUCAUAAAUUUCCUUUCUUCCCCUUAGCCUUGUUUAAUUAGGGUUCACUACUUAACAGUCUCUUACAACUAAAAAAUUCUUUUUUUUUUUUUUUUUCAGAUGGAGUCUCGCUCUGUUGCCCAGGCUGGAGUACAGUGGUACAAUCUCAGCUCACCGCCAACCUCUGCUUUCCGGGUUCCACUGAUUCUCCUACCUCAGCCUCCCUGGUAGCUGGGAUUACAGGCGCCCACCACCAAGCCUGGCUAAUUUUUUGUAUUUUUAGUAGAGACAGUGUUUCACCAUGUCAGCUAGGCUGGUCUUGAACUCCUGACCUCAGAUGAUCCACCUGCCUUGGCCUCCCAAAGUGCUGGGAUUACAGGCGUGAGCCACCGCACCCAGCCAAAAAAUUCUUGACAUAUGCACUCAUAACACCUUGAAAGAAAAUACCAGUGAAGUGCUUGAAAGGGAACUGGUCCCCAAAGGGUAUUUGAAUCACUAAGACUUGGGCAAGAUUUGACUGCUUAGAUUUGAUAUAUGAUAUUCUAGUUCUAGGCCCGGGCGCAGUGGCUCACGCCUGUAAUCCCAGCACUUUGGGAGGCCGAGACAGGCGGAUCACGAGGUCAGAUCGAGACCAUCCUGGCUAACACAGUGAAACCCCAUCUCUACUAAAAAUACAAAACAUUAUCCGGGUGUGGUGGCGGGUACCUGUAGUCCCAGCUACUCGGGAGGCUGAGGCAGGAGAAUGGCGUGAACCCAGGAGGCGGAGCUUGCAGUGAGCUGAGAUCAUGCCACUGCAUUCCAGCGUGGGUGACAGAGCGAAACUCCGUCUCAAAAAAACAAAAAAAACACCAAAACUAGUUCGAAUCUGGUUAGAACAACUUUAUUGCUGGAUUUUGACAUCCUAGCAAAAAAGGUGCCAAACCAUUGUCAUACGUUUUGUGGAUACAUUUGCAUAUUUUAUUAUUAUCUUUUUUUGAGACAGUGUCUUGCUCUGUUGCCCAAGCUGGGAUGCAGUGGCACGAUCUCAGCUCACUGCAACCUCUGCCUCCCGGGUUCAAGUGAUUCUCCUGCCUCAGCCUCCUGAGUAGCUGGGAUUACAGGCGCACGCCACCACGCCUGACUAAUUUUUGUAUUUUUAGUAGAGACGGGGUUUCACCACGUUGGUCAGGCUGGUCUCGAACUCCUGACCUUGUGAUCUGCCCGCCUUGGCCUCCCAGUGUUAGGAUUACAGGCGUGAACCACCACACCUGGCCAAAUUAGCAGAUUUUAAAUCCUUUCGCUGAUCCAAGCUGGGAAAAAAGACUUCACUGAUACUGCAGAAGAGGUGGAAGAAACUAACAUUUGAACUGAGAAGCACUAAGAAAGCCACCCUGAACCCAAAAGUACUGAAAACCUAGUUAGAUAUAUUUUUGGGAAAAAAAAAAAAAGGAGAUCUAAGUGCAUCCUAUAAUAAAUUUAUAUGAAAUAUGUAUAUGAACAUUUUGUAUUUUUUCUUCCAAAAGGGAAUGCACGUGCACAAACACACACACAUGCAUGCUGAGAUAUUUAGUUCUCUGCACGUAUACACUUUUUUUUUUUUUUGAGACGGAGUCUUGCUCUGUUGUCCAGGCUGGAGUAUAGUGGGACGAUCUCGGCUCACUGCAAGCUCCAC